AAAGUACUCCCUCCAUCCCAAAAUUGUUGUCUUAGAUUUGUCUAGAUACGGAUGUAUCAAGUCACAUUUUAGUAUUAGAUACAUCCGUAUCUAGACAAAUCUAAGACAAGAAAUUUGGGACAGAGGGAGUAGUUG
rnacentral:pre_miRNA from 1 species